rnacentral:rRNA from 1 species
UCGAACGAGGCUGAGGGGGCAACUCCUCAGUCGAGUGGCGGACGGGUGAGUAACACGUGGGUAACCUGCCCGGAAGUGGGGAAUACCUCGGGGAAACUCGAGCUAAUACCGCAUGACAUCUUCGGGACGAAAGUCCUGACGAUCAAAGCGGGGUCGCAAGAUCUCGCGCUACCGGAUGGGCCCGCGCCCGAUUAGCUAGUUGGCGAGGUAAUGGCUCACCAAGGCUUCGAUCGGUAACCGGCCUGAGAGGGCGAUCGGUCACACCGGAACUGAGACACGGUCCGGACUCCUACGGGAGGCAGCAGUGGGGAAUCUUGCGCAAUGGGCGAAAGCCUGACGCAGCAACGCCGCGUGGAGGAUGAAGGCCCUUGGGUUGUAAACUCCUGUCGGUUGGGAAGAAAUCGUUCGGGGUUCAUACCCCCGGACGUUGACUGUACCAGCAAAGGAAGCCCCGGCUAACUCUGUGCCAGCAGCCGCGGUAAUACAGAGGGGGCCAGCGUUAUUCGGAAUUAUUGGGCGUAAAGGGCGCGUAGGCGGCUUUGCGUGUCUUUCGUGAAAUCCCUCGGCUUAACUGAGGACGUGCGGAAGAAACUGCAGAGCUGGAGUCCGGGAGAGGGGGGUGGAAUUCCCAGUGUAGCGGUGAAAUGCGUAGAUAUUGGGAGGAACACCGGUGGCGAAGGCGGCCCCCUGGACCGGUACUGACGCUGAGGCGCGAAAGCGUGGGUAGCA